UGCCGUGCUUAUAUAUGUAUGUAUAUAGGCUUCGCCGAGAAUUCGAGAUCCUACAUAUUAUAUACAAGUUUGGAAAUUGAACAGUUCAACUGAGAGAAUUAAACGUAUUUUGAAUUGAAUUGUGAAUAUGCUCUCUGUAAACUGUAAGUCGGCGAAUGUACCGAAUAGGAUCGACCGUAGACUGGAAACUGGAGACUGGAGGCAUUUGGAAUUUUUAUGGAUAUAAAUAGUACAACUUUAUAUCAAGCCGAAACUUCGUUACUACAAAGAAUUAUCAAAUGGUUGACGUUAUUGGAUGUGAAAUGCAAACAGUGUAAAUUACCUCAUCGUGAGAGUCCUCGGCUUCAAACGCAAUGUUCGGAA